GGGGGUGUAGUUCAGUGGUAAAGUGCUUGCCUAAUAUGCAGGAGACCCUGGGCUCAAUCCCCAGCACUACAA
rnacentral:tRNA from 1 species